rnacentral:rRNA from 1 species
GACGAACGCUGGCGGCGUGCCUAAUACAUGCAAGUAGAACGCUGAAGCGAGGAGCUUGCUCUUCUUGGGUGUGUUGCGCACGGGAGAGUAACGCGUAGGUCACCUGCCUUGUAGCGGGGGAUAACUAUUUGAAACGAUAGCUAAUACCGCAUAAUAAUGGAUGACCCAUGUCCUUUAUUUGAAAGUGGCAAAUGCUCCACUACAAGAUGGUCCUGCGUUGUAUUAGCUAGUUGGUGAGGUAACGGCUCACCUAGGCGACGCUACAUAGCCGACCUGAGUGUGUGAUCGGGCACAGUGGGACUGUGACAGGGCCCCGCCUCCCACGGGAGGAAGCAGUAGGGGAUCUUCGGAAAUGGGGGCAACCCUGACCGAGCAACGCCGCGUGAGUGAAGAAGGUUCUCGGACCGUAAAGCUAUGUUGUUAGUCGAGAACGAGCGUGAGAGUGGAAAGAUCACACUGUGACGGUAGCUUAGGAGAAAGGGACGGCUAACUACGUG